UACGUAGGGACCGAGCGUUGUCCGGAUUCAUUGGGCGUAAAGAGCUCGUAGGCGGCUGCUCAAGUCGAAUGUGAAAACUCGAGGCUCAACCUCGAGCCUGCAUUCGAUACUGGGCGGCUAGAGUCUGGUAGGGGGAUCUGGAAUUCCUGGUGUAGCGGUGGAAUGCGCAGAUAUCAGGAGGAACACCGGUGGCGAAAGCAGCUCUCUGGGACGGUACUGACGCUGAGACGCGAAAGCGUGGGGAGCGAACAGG
rnacentral:rRNA from 1 species